UACGGAGGGCGCAAGCGUUGUUCGGAAUCACUGGGCGUAAAGCGCGUGUAGGCGGCUUUGCAAGUCGGGUGUGAAAUCCCGAGGCUCAACCUCGGAACUGCACUCGAUACUGCUUGGCUCGAGUCCCGGAGAGGGUGGCGGAAUUCCCGGUGUAGGGGUGAAAUCCGUAGAGAUCGGGAGGAACACCAGUGGCGAAGGCGGCCACCUGGACGGUGACUGACGAUGAGACGCGAAAGAGUGGGGAGCAAACAGG
rnacentral:rRNA from 1 species